GCUGGCGACCGGCGCACGGGUGAGUAACGGCGUAUCCAACCUACCCCGCGGUCAGGGACAGCCCGGCGAAAGUCGGAUUAAUACCUGAAUGCAGUCAGAAGAGGGCAUCUGAUUUUGACGAAAGAUUGAUCGCCUCGGGAUGGGGAUGCGUAGGAUUAGGCAGGCGGCGGGGUAACGGCCACCGCGCCGACGAUCCUUAGGGGUUCUGAGAGGAAGGUCCCCCACACUGGUACUGAGACACGGACCAGACUCCUACGGGAGGCAGCAGUGAGGAAUAUUGGUCAAGUGGGCGCGAGCCUGAACCGAGCCAAGUAGCGUGACCAGGACGACGGCCCUAUGGGUUGUAAACUGCUUUUAUGCGGGGAUAAAGUGCGGCACGUGUGCCGUUUUGUAGGUACCGCAUGAAUAAGGACCGGCUAAUUCCGUGCCAGCAGCAGC
rnacentral:rRNA from 1 species